ACACACUCUCAUGAAAAGCAAUUUUCGUGAAGGUACGUUAACACCUUCACGAAAUAUGUGCGAUUUUGUGAGCGUGUUGCAAAAACUCUCACCAAAUAUGUGUGAUUUUGUGAGUGCGUUCGAAAAACUCUCACGAAAUAUCUGGACCCAUAUUGAAGAACAGAUGUGACCAUGUAAUGAAUAACAGAGAUUUCACUUCUUCAAUCGAGGCUUGAGGGCUUUCCCAUUUUAUUUACAAUUGAAUUCAUAAAGCAGCACUUGGAACAACACCGACAUGAUUCAAAUCAGGUAUUUAGUACCAGCAGGACAAAGACUGAUUUGAGACCAUCGAAAUGAAAGUACAUAUGAAUCGUAUAAUUUGGAAUCUGGAUACAAAAGCAAUGGCAAUUAAAAGGUGCUUACAUACUGUGAAAUUGGAUUGUUGAUUAAAAAAAUCAAGGAAACCUGGCCAAGCCAAAUUUGUAAUUUGACACGUUUUGUGAGGGAUUUCAAUUGCCGUCGGGAAAAAACCUCCGCAUGCUAUACAUAUGAAAGAUCAUGGUCAACUGAGGGUA